rnacentral:misc_RNA from 1 species
CCCAGCCCAGGAUGGCACGG